rnacentral:rRNA from 1 species
GACGAACGCUGGCGGCGUGCUUAACACAUGCAAGUCGAACGGAAAGGCCCUGCUUUUGUGGGGGGCUCGAGUGGCGAACGGGUGAGUAACACGUGAGUAACCUGCCCUUGACUUUGGGAUAAAUUCAGGAAACUGGGGCUAAUACCGGAUAGGAGCUACUGCUGCAUGGUGGGGGUUGGAAAGUUUCGGCGGUUGGGGAUGGACUCGCGGCUUAUCAGCUUGUUGGUGGGGUAGUGGCUUACCAAGGCUUUGACGGGUAGCCGGCAUGAGAGGGUGACCGGGCACAUUGGGACUGAGAUACGGCCCAGACUCCUACGGGAGGCAGCAGUGGGGAAGAUUGCACAAUGGGCGGAAGCCUGAUGCAGCAACGCCGCGUGCGGGAUAACGGCCUUCGGGUUGAAAACCGCUUUCGCCUGUGACGAAGCGAGAGUGACGGUAAUGGGUAAAGAAGCACCGGCUAACUACGUG